CCUACGGGUGGCAGCAGUGGGGAAUAUUGCACAAUGGGGGAAACCCUGAUGCAGCGACGCAGCGUGAGUGAAGAAGUAUCUCGGUAUGUAAAGCUCUAUCAGCAGGGAAGAAAAUGACGGUACCUGAAUAAGAAGCUCCGGCUAACUACGUGCCAGCAGCCGCGGUCAUACGAAGGGGGCACCCGUUCACAGGAUUUACGGGGUGUAAAGGGAGCGGAGGCGGGGCUGCAAGUCCGGAGUGAAAGCCUAUGGUCUAAUCACGGUAUCGUUAUGGAUACUGUGGAACUUGAGUGUGGGAGGGGCAGGCGGAAUUCCUAGUGUAGCGGUGAAAUGCGUAGAUAUUAGGAAGAACACCGGCGGCGAAGGCAGCCUGCUGGACCGUAACUGACGUUGAGGCACGAAAGCGUGGGGAGCAAACAGGAUUAGAUACCCGGGUAGUC
rnacentral:rRNA from 1 species